rnacentral:rRNA from 1 species
UAAAAUGGCUAAACUGGCUUGUCAAAGCCUGAUCUUGUCAGAACUCAGAAACCAAGCAAGGCUGUGCUGGUUAGUACUUGAAUGGGAGACCACAGAGAAUAUCAAAUACCAC